AAAAAGACAAACCCUGAUUUCCGUGCCUAACGUUUGACCGUCCGUCUUAUUUGAAAAAAAUAUAAAAAAAAUAAAAAGACAAGUCACGUAUAAAAUAUUAAUCAUGUUUAUUAUCUAACAACAAUGAAAAUACGAAUUAUAAAAAAAUUUCAUAUAAGACGGACAGUCAAAGUUGGACACGGAAACCCAGGGUUUGCCUCUUU
rnacentral:pre_miRNA from 1 species